rnacentral:rRNA from 1 species
UACGUAGGGUGCGAGCGUUAAUCGGAAUUACUGAGCGUAAAGCGUGCGCAGGCGGCGCGUUAAGACAGGUGUGAAAGCCCCGAGCUUAACUUGGGAAUUGCGCUUGUGACUGGCGUGCUGGAGUGUGGCAGAGGGAGGUGGAAUUCCACGUGUAGCAGUGAAAUGCGUAGAGAUGUGGAGGAACACCGAUGGCGAAGGCAGCCUCCUGGGCCAGCACUGACGCUCAUGCACGAAAGCGUGGGGAGCAAACAGG